UCUUCCAAAUCUUAAGUAAAUUCACUUCUUGGGAGUGUACCAUCACCUACUCCCAAGAAGUGUAUUUACUUAAGAUUUGGAA
rnacentral:pre_miRNA from 1 species